GAAUUCGCCCUUAGAGUUUGAUCCUGGCUCAGGACGAACGCUGGCGGCGCGCCUAACACAUGCAAGUCGAACGGAGUCAAGAGGAGCUUGCUUUUCUUGACUUAGUGGCGAACGGGUGAGUAACGCGUGAGUAACCUGCCCUGGAGUGGGGGACAACAGUUGGAAACGACUGCUAAUACCGCAUAAGCCCACGGAUCCGCAUGGAUCUGCGGGAAAAGGAUUUAUUCGCUUCAGGAUGGACUCGCGUCCAAUUAGCUAGUUGGUGAGGUAACGGCCCACCAAGGCGACGAUUGGUAGCCGGACUGAGAGGUUGAACGGCCACAUUGGGACUGAGACACGGCCCAGACUCCUACGGGAGGCAGCAGUGGGGGAUAUUGCACAAUGGGGGAAACCCUGAUGCAGCGACGCCGCGUGGAGGAAGAAGGUUUUCGGAUUGUAAACUCCUGUCGUUAGGGACGAUAAUGACGGUACCUAACAAGAAAGCACCGGCUAACUACGUGCCAGCAGCCGCGGUAAAACGUAGGGUGCAAGCGUUGUCCGGAAUUACUGGGUGUAAAGGGAGCGCAGGCGGACCGGCAAGUUGGAAGUGAAAACUAUGGGCUCAACCCAUAAAUUGCUUUCAAAACUGCUGGCCUUGAGUAGUGCAGAGGUAGGUGGAAUUCCCGGUGUAGCGGUGGAAUGCGUAGAUAUCGGGAGGAACACCAGUGGCGAAGGCGACCUACUGGGCACCAACUGACGCUGAGGCUCGAAAGCAUGGGUAGCAAACAGGAUUAGAUACCCUGGUAGUCCAUGCCGUAAACGAUG
rnacentral:rRNA from 1 species